rnacentral:rRNA from 1 species
AACGAACGCUGGCGGCAUGCCUAAUACAUGCAAGUCGAACGAGAUCUUCGGAUCUAGUGGCGCACGGGUGCGUAACGCGUGGGAAUCUACCCUUGGGUUCGGAAUAACAGUUAGAAAUGACUGCUAAUACCGGAUGAUGACGUAAGUCCAAAGAUUUAUCGCCCAAGGAUGAGCCCGCGUAAGAUUAGCUAGUUGGUGAGGUAAAGGCUCACCAAGGCUACGAUCUUUAGCUGGUCUGAGAGGAUGAUCAGCCACACUGGGACUGAGACACGGCCCAGACUCCUACGGGAGGCAGCAGUAGGGAAUAUUGCGCAAUGGGGGAAACCCUGACGCAGCAACGCCGCGUGUGUGAAGAAGGCC